UUGUGUGACUGUGAGGAAAGAAAACUAAGUGGCCAGGGGGAUGAAGUGGGGUGGGGAGUCAGAUGGGUCAGGAGAGAGACCAUCUUGCAUACAUUUUCUGUCUCUCCUGACCCAUCUGAUUCCCCAUCCCACUACACCCCCCUGGCCACUUAGUUUUCUUUGCUCCAUUCU
rnacentral:miRNA from 1 species